AGUGUGAAGGCAUAGAGCCUUCACUUUUGUACACCGUAAGGUGGUGUACGAAUAAGGGCUGGGCAAGACCGGUGCCAGCCNCCGCGGUAAUACCGGCAGCCCGAGUGAUGGCCGAUAUUAUUGGGCCUAAAGCGUCCGUAGCUGGCCGGACAAGUCCGUUGGGAAAUCUGUUCGCUUAACGAGCAGGCGUCCAGCGGAAACUGUUCGGCUUGGGACCGGAAGACCUGAGGGGUACGUCCGGGGUAGGAGUGAAAUCCUGUAAUCCUGGACGGACCACCGGUGGCGAAAGCGCCUCAGGAGAACGGAUCCGACAGUGAGGGACGAAAGCUAGGGUCUCGAACCGGAUUAGAUACCCGGGUAGUCCUAGCUGUAAACGAUGCCCGCUAGGUGUGGCGCAGGCUACGAGCCUGCGCUGUGCCGUAGGGAAGCCGAGAAGCGGGCCGCCUGGGAAGUACGUCUGCAAGGAUGAAACUUAAAGGAAUUGGCGGGGGGAGCACUACAACCGGAGGAGCCUGCGGUUUAAUUGGACUCAACGCCGGACAUCUCACCAGCUCCGACAGUAGUAAUGACGGUCAGGUUGAUGACCUUACCCGAUGCUACUGAGAGGAGGUGCAUGGCCGCCGUCAGCUCGUACCGUGAGGCGUCCUGUUAAGUCAGGCAACGAGCGAGACCCGCACUCCUAAUUGCCAGCAGUACCCUUUGGGUAGCUGGGUACAUUAGGUGGACUGCCGCUGCUAAAGCGGAGGAAGGAACGGGCAACGGUAGGUCAGUAUGCCCCGAAUGAGCUGGGCAACACGCGGGCUACAAUGGUCGAGACAAUGGGAUGCAACUCCG
rnacentral:rRNA from 1 species